ensembl:lincRNA
CCACAUCCACGCUAUCUCCUAAAGCAGUCAUUCUGAAACCCAAUCUGGGGACAGUGCAGACUAAAUAAAAUUUCAUUUUGAUUUGGCCUCCCGCUGCGAACGGGACUGCUUUGUCUCGGGCCGACAGAACCAGCAAGCCAGAAAGGUAUGUGGCGUUUUGCAUGGCUGGUGGUGUGUCUGGAAGCUCAGGAUCGCCUCUGCUCCUGGCUCGCAGCUCUCCCACUUCCUGCUCCCCUUUUUCUCUCAGCACUGUGUGCCUUCUACCUGCCGGGCUGAGCGGUGGCUAACCCGCACCAGUUAUUGACUUUGGCAUAUGUUUAAUCGCUCCUGUGGCUGUUUGCAUCCCCCCCACCCCACCCCCUCCACUGUCUUUGUUAUUGUUAAGCUUUGGUUUUUGUU